rnacentral:sRNA from 1 species
CUGUACCAACCGUCCACCGCGGUCACUGCGCGCCGUCCACGCUCACUCGACCACCGCGCGCUAUGUUGUGUUGGCU